UACGUAGGUGGCAAGCGUUGUCCGGAAUUAUUGGGCGUAAAGCGCGCGCAGGCGGUCCUUUAAGUCUGAUGUGAAAGCCCCCGGCUUAACCGGGGAGAGUCGUUGGGGACGGCGGAGCUUGAGGGCGGGAGAGGUCGGUGGAAUUCCCGGUGUAGUGGUGAAAUGCGUAGAGAUCGGGAGGAACACCUGUGGCGAAGGCGGCCGACUGGGCCGACCCUGACGCUGAGGCGCGAAGGCGUGGGGAGCGAACGGG
rnacentral:rRNA from 1 species